rnacentral:lncRNA from 1 species
GUUAAAAAAUUAAAUAUCAUGAAUUAUAGUAAUAUUUUAUUGUCACAGCUAUCUGUGUGAAUAGUUAUACACACAGAUGACCGUGUAACUAAUUAAUACAUUUACACUGUAUUUCGUAACUAAUAUCUUUUCACACGGUUUUUUGUUACCAUUGCUAUUGCAUAAAGUAACGUAGACCAUAAAAGCCUAUUUCACACGGUUAGCAGUAGCACAUUGUAUUUCUCACAGAAUUCUAUGAGUUUAAAGUAAAUGUGAGAAAUAAAUCCGUGUGAAAGGUUAUUUUUCUAGUAGUGAGGUAAAUCUAGAUAAUCAUAUUCAUGCAUUUUGUGCAACUCUCAUAGUUGAAACAGAUUGCCAGGUUCUUGACUUCUUGUUAAGGGCACUUGGGAAUAACUCUCUUGAUCAAUCAGAUCUUGGUUUUCUUCUCUCUGAUCUGAGGGAGCUUUUGUGUCUUGCAUCUUAUGCACAACUUCGUUUUGUUGGUAGGACUGUCGCCCUCACUAUAGCAAGGAAGCUUUUCAAGCUUCUAGUAAUUAAUUAGGUGUUUAAUCUAGCUUGUACCAUCUCCGCAUAAGGAGAGGUGUUAAUUACUUUUGAGAUGUAUAAUUCUUAAGAAAAAGAGUGCGGCUAUUGGAAUCUUCAAAUUUGCUUAAUAUACCUCUCAUUCUCUCUACACCUCCCUUUUACUUUUCAAUAUAAGCAUUUUCUCAUUAGACCUCAUUUCAAAUUUCUAACAUAACCUUAGUUAUUUAUUGACAUAUAUUUCAAUUAAUUACUUACUUAGUUACUUUACCUCUUAUUCACUCAAUAGACCUCUCAUUCUUUAUUUUUAUUUUUUUACCUUUUUGUUUUUGAACAUCCAUUACUUAGUUACUUUACCUCUUAUUCACUCUAAUAGACCUCUCAUUCUUUAUUUUUAUUUUUUUACCUUUUUGUUUUUGUAACAUCCAUUACUUAGUUACUUUACCUCUUAUUCACUCAAUAGACCUCUCAUUCUU